rnacentral:rRNA from 1 species
GACGAACGCUGGCGGCGUGCUUAACACAUGCAAGUCGAACGGAAAGGCCCUGCUUUUGUGGGGUGCUCGAGUGGCGAACGGGUGAGUAACACGUGAGUAGCCUGCCCUUGACCUUGGGAUAACUUCAGGAAACUGGGGCUAAUACCGGAUAGGAGCUCCCGCUGCAUGGUGGGGGUUGGAAAGUUUCGGCGGUUGGGGAUGGACUCGCGGCUUAUCAGCUUGUUGGUGGGGUAGUGGCUUACCAAGGCUUUGACGGGUAGCCGGCCUGAGAGGGUGACCGGCCACAUUGGGACUGAGAUACGGCCCAGACUCCUACGGGAGGCAGCAGUGGGGAAUAUUGCACAAUGGGCGGAAGCCUGAUGCAGCAACGCCGCGUGCGGGAUGACGGCCUUCGGGUUGUAAACCGCUUUCGCCUGUGACGAAGCGUGAGUGACGGUAAUGGGUAAAGAAGCACCGGCUAACUACGUG